rnacentral:rRNA from 1 species
AUUGAACGCUAGCGGCAUGCCUAACACAUGCAAGUCGAACGGCAGCGCGGGGAGCUUGCUCCCUGGCGGCGAGUGGCGGACGGGUGAGUAACGCGUAGGAAUCUACCUUAUAGCGGGGGAUAACCCGGGGAAACUCGGGCUAAUACCGCAUAAUCUCUUCGGAGCAAAGCGGGGGACUUUCGGGCCUCGCACUGUAAGAUGAGCCUGCGUCGGAUUAGUUUGUUGGUGGGGUAACGGCCUACCAAGGCGACGAUCCGUAGCUGGUUUGAGAGGACGACCAGCCACACUGGGACUGAGACACGGCCCAGACUCCUACGGGAGGCAGCAGUGGGGAAUAUUGGACAAUGGGGGCAACCCUGAUCCAGCAAUGCCGCGUGUGUGAAGAAGGCCUUCGGGUUGUAAAGCACUUUCAGUGGGGAAGAAAAGCGCAAGGUUAAUACCCUUGCGUCUUGACGUUACCUGCAGAAGAAGCACUGGCUAACUCUGUG